rnacentral:lncRNA from 1 species
CACUAAAGCCAAUCGCCAUGGUAUCUCAUACCCUUCUUCUCUAAGUGACGAUUAUCCUGCUGUUGGAUAAGCUUUAGUAAAUGGAUAUGUAAUAUUGUUCUUGAGAGUCCACUAUCUCUAUAGUGAUUUCCCAUCUUUCAAUGAUUCCUAUAAUCAAUUGAAAGUGCCACAACACAUGUUUAGAUUCAAGAUGAGACUUAGGAACUAUUCCUAGUUCUGUAAUGAACUUUUUAUCCAAACAAUCAACUUGCAGCUUCAUUGCAGCUAUAUACUUUGUCUUUAUCACUAAACCAGCA